GACGAACGCUGGCGGCGUGCUUAACACAUGCAAGUCGAACGAAGAGCGAUGGAAGCUUGCUUCUAUCAAUCUUAGUGGCGCACGGGUGGGUAACGCGUAAUCAACCUGCCCUUCAGAGGGGGACAACAGUUGGAAACGACUGCUAAUACCGCAUACGAUCUAAUCUCGGCAUCGAGGAAAGAUGAAAGGUGGCCUCUAUUUAUAAGCUAUCACUGAAGGAGGGGAUUGCGUCUGAUUAGCUAGUUGGAGGGGUAACGGCCCACCAAGGCGAUGAUCAGUAGCCGGUCUGAGAGGAUGAACGGCCACAUUGGGACUGAGACACGGCCCAGACUCCUACGGGAGGCAGCAGUGGGGAAUCUUCCGCAAUGGACGAAAGUCUGACGGAGCAACGCCGCGUGAGUGAUGACGGCCUUCGGGUUGUAAAGCUCUGUUAAUCGGGACGAAAGGCCUUCUUGCGAACAGUUAGAAGGAUUGACGGUACCGGAAGAGAAAGCCACGGCUAACUACGUG
rnacentral:rRNA from 1 species